UCACUUAAUUUCUGGUCACUACUAAUUUCUGGAAAAGUUAAGUCCAUUUGUCAGAGUUGUGGUUAUCAUAUUUUCUUUUUGUGAUCAUGUCAAAAGGGUUCAAACAUCAUUUCAAACAU